AUACGUAGGGGGCGAGCGUUGUCCGGAAUGAUUGGGCGUAAAGGGCGCGUAGGCGGCGCGGUAAGUCUGGAGUGAAAGUCCUGCUUUCAAGGUGGGAAUUGCUUUGGAUACUGUCGGGCUUGAGUGCAGGAGAGGUAAGUGGAAUUCCCAGUGUAGCGGUGAAAUGCGUAGAGAUUGGGAGGAACACCAGUGGCGAAGGCGACUUACUGGACUGUAACUGACGCUGAGGCGCGAAAGUGUGGGGAGCAAACAGGAUUAGAUACCCUGGUAGUCCACACUGUAAACGAUGAAUGCUGGGUGUAGGGGGUAUCGACCCCUUCUGUGCCGCAGUCAACACAAUAAGCAUUCCGCCUGGGGAGUACGGCCGCAAGGUUGAAACUUAAAGGAAUUGACGGGG
rnacentral:rRNA from 1 species